AGCAGCCGCGGUAAUUCCAGCUCCAAUAGCGUAUAUCAAAGUUGUUGCAGUUAAAAAGCUCGUAGUUGAAUUUCGGGGUUCUACCGUUGGUCAGGCUAUUGUCUGUACUGGUGUGUAGAAUUUCUACUUUCUGGGGAACUAUCAUGUUAUUAAUUUAGCGUGGUAGGAAACCAGGACCUUUACCUUGAAAAAAUUAGAGUGUUCAAAGCAGGCUUAUGUCUGAAUACAUUAGCAUGGAAUAAUAAAAUAGGACGGUGGUCCUGUUUUGUUGGUUUCUGAAUCACCGUAAUGAUUAAUAGGGAUAGUUGGGGGCAUUAGUAUUCAAUUGUCAGAGGUGAAAUUCUUGGAUUUAUUGAAGACUAACUACUGCGAAAGCAUUUGCCAAGGAUGUUUUCAUUAAUCAAGAACGAAAGUUAGGGGAUCGAAGACGAUCAGAUACCGUCGUAGUCUUAACCAUAAACUAUGCCGACUAGGGAUCGGAUGAUGUUAAUUUUUUAAUGACUCAUUUCGGCGCCUUACG
rnacentral:rRNA from 1 species